UUCUAAUUGAAUCAUAAUUAGUAGGACCUGCUCAAUGAAAUUUCAAUAGCCGCAGAAUUUUCUGUGCUAAGGUAGCAUAAUCAUUUGCCUUUUAAUUAAAGGCUGGAAUGAAAGGUUGCACAUGUUAAUUUCUUUAUUCAUAAUUUUAUUUAAAUUUUACUUAAAUGUAAAAAGGCAUUUAUCAAUUUAAGAGGGACGACAAGACCCUAUCGAGCUUUACUUUAGUUGAGCUGGGGUGGCAAAAAACAAAAUCUUUUUUUUUUAAUUAUCCAAUUUCUUGAUCUUUAUCAAGUUACCGUAGGGAUAACAGCAUAAUUUUUUCUUAUAGAUCUUAUUUUAGAAAAAGAUUGUGACCUCGAUGUUGAAUAUCUAUCUUCCAGGAGCAAUAUCUUGAAAAGAAAGUCUGUCCGACUUUUAAAAUUUUACA
rnacentral:rRNA from 1 species